UUACGACCAUAUCACGCUGAUACACCAGUUCACGAAGAUCACCGAAGUUAAGAAACGUCGAGCCUAGUCAUUACCUAUAUGGGUGACCGCUUGGGAAUAUCAGGUACUGUAA